rnacentral:piRNA from 1 species
UGGGUCACCCCGGGUAGUCGAGACUCUAGA